UUGGUUAAGUUAGAAAGGGCGCACGGUGGAUGCCUUGGCACUAGGAGCCGAAGAAGGACGGGACUAACACCGAUAUGCUUUGGGGAGCUGUACGUAAGCGUUGAUCCAGAGAUUUCCGAAUGGGGGAACCCACUAUCUUUAGUCGGAUAGUAUCCUUACGUGAAUACAUAGCGUGAGGAAGGCAGACCCAGGGAACUGAAACAUCUAAGUACCUGGAGGAAGAGAAAGAAAAAUCGAUUUCCUGAGUAGCGGCGAGCGAAACGGAAAGAGCCCAAACCAAGAAGCUUGCUUCUUGGGGUUGUAGGACACUCUAUACGGAGUUACAAAAGAAAGUUAUAAAUGAAGCGGUCUGGAAAGGCCCGCCAAAGACGGUAACAGCCCGGUAGUUGAAAUGGCUUUCCCUCCAGAGUGGAUCCUGAGUACGGCGGAACACGUGAAAUUCCGUCGGAAUCCGGGAGGACCAUCUCCCAAGGCUAAAUACUCCCUAGUGACCGAUAGUGAACCAGUACCGUGAGGGAAAGGUGAAAAGCACCCCGGAAGGGGAGUGAAACAGUUCCUGAAACCGUGUGCCUACAAGUAGUUAGAGCCCGUUAAUGGGUGAUAGCGUGCCUUUUGUAGAAUGAACCGGCGAGUUACGAUUUGUUGCAAGGUUAAGCGGAAAAAGCGGAGCCGUAGCGAAAGCGAGUCUGAAUAGGGCGCAUAAGUAACAGGUCGUAGACCCGAAACCAGGUGAUCUACCCAUGUCCAGGAUGAAGGUAAGGUAAUACUUACUGGAGGUCCGAACCCACGCACGUUGAAAAGUGCGGGGAUGAGGUGUGGGUAGCGGAGAAAUUCCAAUCGAACUUGGAGAUAGCUGGUUCUCUCCGAAAUAGCUUUAGGGCUAGCCUCGAGGUAAAGAGUCAUGGAGGUAGAGCACUGUUUGGA
rnacentral:rRNA from 1 species